rnacentral:tRNA from 1 species
UGGGUUGUGGCUCAAAAGUAGAGCGCUCGCCUAGCACAUGUGAGGCACUGGGUUCGAUCCUCAGCACCACAU